rfam:Streptomyces turgidiscabies Car8 gcontig_1113219321157, whole genome shotgun sequence.
GGUCAUGAGUGACAGUCAUGAGGCCCCGGCCGACUGUCCGGCAACCCUCCGUCCGUGGCGGGGUGCCCCGGGAUGAAGACCAGGCCGUAGGCAGCAAGGCUUACGGCAAGCGCGGGCC